UACGUAGGGUGCAAGCGUUGUCCGGAAUUAUUGGGCGUAAAGAGCUCGUAGGCGGUCUGUCGCGUCUGCUGUGAAAACCUGGGGCUUAACCCCGGGCCUGCAGUGGGUACGGGCAGACUAGAGUGCGGUAGGGGAGACUGGAAUUCCUGGUGUAGCGGUGAAAUGCGCAGAUAUCAGGAGGAACACCGGUGGCGAAGGCGGGUCUCUGGGCCGUAACUGACGCUGAGACGCGAAAGCGUGGGGAGCGAACAGG
rnacentral:rRNA from 1 species